rnacentral:rRNA from 1 species
GGGUUGUGAGGUUAAGCGACUAAGCGUACACGGUGGAUGCCCUGGCAGUCAGAGGCGAUGAAGGACGUGCUAAUCUGCGAUAAGCGUCGGUAAGGUGAUAUGAACCGUUAUAACCGGCGAUUUCCGAAUGGGGAAACCCAGUGUGUUUCGACACACUAUCAUUAACUGAAUCCAUAGGUUAAUGAGGCGAACCGGGGGAACUGAAACAUCUAAGUACCCCGAGGAAAAGAAAUCAACCGAGAUUCCCCCAGUAGCGGCGAGCGAACGGGGAGCAGCCCAGAGCCUGAAUCAGUGUGUGUGUUAGUGGAAGCGUCUGGAAAGGCGCGCGAUACAGGGUGACAGCCCCGUACACAAAAAUGCACAUGCUGUGAGCUCGAUGAGUAGGGCGGGACACGUGGUAUCCUGUCUGAAUAUGGGGGGACCAUCCUCCAAGGCUAAAUACUCCUGACUGACCGAUAGUGAACCAGUACCGUGAGGGAAAGGCGAAAAGAACCCCGGCGAGGGGAGUGAAAAAGAACCUGAAACCGUGUACGUACAAGCAGUGGGAGCCUCUUUUAUGGGGUGACUGCGUACCUUUUGUAUAAUGGGUCAGCGACUUAUAUUCUGUAGCAAGGUUAACCGAAUAGGGGAGCCGAAGGGAAACCGAGUCUUAACUGGGCGUUAAGUUGCAGGGUAUAGACCCGAAACCCGGUGAUCUAGCCAUGGGCAGGUUGAAGGUUGGGUAACACUAACUGGAGGACCGAACCGACUAAUGUUGAAAAAUUAGCGGAUGACUUGUGGCUGGGGGUGAAAGGCCAAUCAAACCGGGAGAUAGCUGGUUCUCCCCGAAAGCUAUUUAGGUAGCGCCUCGUGAACUCAUCUCCGGGGGUAGAGCACUGUUUCGGCAAGGGGGUCAUCCCGACUUACCAACCCGAUGCAAACUGCGAAUACCGGAGAAUGUUAUCACGGGAGACACACGGCGGGUGCUAACGUCCGUCGUGAAGAGGGAAACAACCCAGACCGCCAGCUAAGGUCCCAAAGUCAUGGUUAAGUGGGAAACGAUGUGGGAAGGCCCAGACAGCCAGGAUGUUGGCUUAGAAGCAGCCAUCAUUUAAAGAAAGCGUAAUAGCUCACUGGUCGAGUCGGCCUGCGCGGAAGAUGUAACGGGGCUAAACCAUGCACCGAAGCUGCGGCAGCGACGCUUAUGCGUUGUUGGGUAGGGGAGCGUUCUGUAAGCCUGCGAAGGUGUGCUGUGAGGCAUGCUGGAGGUAUCAGAAGUGCGAAUGCUGACAUAAGUAACGAUAAAGCGGGUGAAAAGCCCGCUCGCCGGAAGACCAAGGGUUCCUGUCCAACGUUAAUCGGGGCAGGGUGAGUCGACCCCUAAGGCGAGGCCGAAAGGCGUAGUCGAUGGGAAACAGGUUAAUAUUCCUGUACUUGGUGUUACUGCGAAGGGGGGACGGAGAAGGCUAUGUUGGCCGGGCGACGGUUGUCCCGGUUUAAGCGUGUAGGCUGGUUUUCCAGGCAAAUCCGGAAAAUCAAGGCUGAGGCGUGAUGACGAGGCACUACGGUGCUGAAGCAACAAAUGCCCUGCUUCCAGGAAAAGCCUCUAAGCAUCAGGUAACAUCAAAUCGUACCCCAAACCGACACAGGUGGUCAGGUAGAGAAUACCAAGGCGCUUGAGAGAACUCGGGUGAAGGAACUAGGCAAAAUGGUGCCGUAACUUCGGGAGAAGGCACGCUGAUAUGUAGGUGAAGCGACUUGCUCGUGGAGCUGAAAUCAGUCGAAGAUACCAGCUGGCUGCAACUGUUUAUUAAAAACACAGCACUGUGCAAACACGAAAGUGGACGUAUACGGUGUGACGCCUGCCCGGUGCCGGAAGGUUAAUUGAUGGGGUCAGCGCAAGCGAAGCUCUUGAUCGAAGCCCCGGUAAACGGCGGCCGUAACUAUAACGGUCCUAAGGUAGCGAAAUUCCUUGUCGGGUAAGUUCCGACCUGCACGAAUGGCGUAAUGAUGGCCAGGCUGUCUCCACCCGAGACUCAGUGAAAUUGAACUCGCUGUGAAGAUGCAGUGUACCCGCGGCAAGACGGAAAGACCCCGUGAACCUUUACUAUAGCUUGACACUGAACAUUGAGCCUUGAUGUGUAGGAUAGGUGGGAGGCUUUGAAGUGUGGACGCCAGUCUGCAUGGAGCCGACCUUGAAAUACCACCCUUUAAUGUUUGAUGUUCUAACGUUGACCCGUAAUCCGGGUUGCGGACAGUGUCUGGUGGGUAGUUUGACUGGGGCGGUCUCCUCCUAAAGAGUAACGGAGGAGCACGAAGGUUGGCUAAUCCUGGUCGGACAUCAGGAGGUUAGUGCAAUGGCAUAAGCCAGCUUGACUGCGAGCGUGACGGCGCGAGCAGGUGCGAAAGCAGGUCAUAGUGAUCCGGUGGUUCUGAAUGGAAGGGCCAUCGCUCAACGGAUAAAAGGUACUCCGGGGAUAACAGGCUGAUACCGCCCAAGAGUUCAUAUCGACGGCGGUGUUUGGCACCUCGAUGUCGGCUCAUCACAUCCUGGGGCUGAAGUAGGUCCCAAGGGUAUGGCUGUUCGCCAUUUAAAGUGGUACGCGAGCUGGGUUUAGAACGUCGUGAGACAGUUCGGUCCCUAUCUGCCGUGGGCGCUGGAGAACUGAGGGGGGCUGCUCCUAGUACGAGAGGACCGGAGUGGACGCAUCACUGGUGUUCGGGUUGUCAUGCCAAUGGCACUGCCCGGUAGCUAAAUGCGGAAGAGAUAAGUGCUGAAAGCAUCUAAGCACGAAACUUGCCCCGAGAUGAGUUCUCCCUGACUCCUUGAGAGUCCUGAAGGAACGUUGAAGACGACGACGUUGAUAGGCCGGGUGUGUAAGCGCAGCGAUGCGUUGAGCUAACCGGUACUAAUGAACCGUGAGGCUUAACCUUACAACGCCGAAG